UCGGCCAGGGUUUAAAGUGUAACUUUCAAAAGUUACAGGGGCUGAAACGCAAACUUUGAAACCACAGUACCCACACUUCACCAUCUCCGAAACUCUGGGGGCUAAACAGUAGUUUACCACCUCCGCCGCCCCCAGUCGCCGGAAAUGGCCACCACUGACCAGAACUUCACCAAAAUUUCACCGAAUCAUCUACAUAACAACAGGAACAUGAUUAUGGCUUUAUAUUUCACAGAAACUUAGCAGAAUAUCUGGAAAAUCCAUCCAAACAAUUCGCCACCGCUGAGCUCGAAGCUCCGGCGAGGCUUAUACGCGGCUCCUGCACAAAAACUAAUCACACCACUCGAUUCCUCUCCUCAAAAUACACAUGUUCAUCAUCUUCUUUUAAGCCCAGAAUUACAGAAUCAAAAACGCCUAAAUUUCAAUUAAACUUAUUCAAGAACACUCAAGAACACCAAGAACAUUCAAACUCAAGAAUCAAACCAACGUUUCUAUAUGAUUCCGAACUCGAAAUUCAACAUAUA
rnacentral:lncRNA from 1 species